UUAUAAUCUGGCACCUUCGGUGUCCGAGUUGUAAUCUCUAGAAAUGUUUUCCGCGUUGGACCGCACACAAGUCUGUUGGAAUACAGCGGCAUAGUGGUGAGACCCCCGUAUAUGGUGCGGACGCCCAGCGCUUUGUGAUACAUUUUCGAAGAGUCGAGUUGUUUGGGAAUGCAGCUCAAAUUGGGUGGUAAAUUCCAUCUAAAGCUAAAUAUUGGCGAGAGACCGAUAGCGAACAAGUACCGUGAGGGAAAGAUGAAAAGCACUUUGGAAAGAGAGUUAACAGUACGUGAAAUUGUUGGAAGGGAAACGCUUGAAGUCAGACUUGCUUGCCGAGCAAUCGGUUUGCAGGCCAGCAUCAGUUUUCCGGGAUGGAUAAUGGUAGAGAGAAGGUAGCAGUUUCGGCUGUGUUAUAGCUCUCUGCUGGAUACAUCUUGGGGGACUGAGGAACGCAGUGUGCCUUUGGCGGGGGUUUCGACCUCUUCACACUUAGGAUGCUGGUGGAAUGGCUUUAAACGACCCGU
rnacentral:rRNA from 1 species